rnacentral:rRNA from 1 species
UGAGGAACAUGACUUUCGGCGGGGGAUAGCCGGCCCAACGGCCGGGUAAUACCGCGUACGACCUUUUGGGGACAUCCCCGAUUGGUGAAAGCAGCAAUGCGCCGAAAGAGUGCCUCGCGGCCUAUCAGCUAGUUGGUGGGUAAUGGCUCACCAAGGCGACGACGGGUAGCUGGUCUGAGAGGAUGGCCAGCCACAUUGGGACUGAGACACGGCCCAGACCUCCGUACGGGAGCAGCAGG